rnacentral:rRNA from 1 species
ACACUCCUACGGGAGGCAGCAGUGGGGAAUUUUGGACAAUGGGCGAAAGCCUGAUCCAGCAAUGCCGCGUGAGUGAAGAAGGCCUUCGGGUUGUAAAGCUCUUUUGUCAGGGAAGAAACGGUGAGAGCUAAUAUCUUUUGCUAAUGACGGUACCUGAAGAAUAAGCACCGGCUAACUACGUGCCAGCAGCCGCGGUAAUACGUAGGGUGCAAGCGUUAAUCGGAAUUACUGGGCGUCAAGCGUGCGCAGGCGGUUUUGUAAGUCUGAUGUGAAAUCCCCGGGCUCAACCUGGGAAUUGCAUUGGAGACUGCAAGGCUAGAAUCUGGCAGAGGGGGGUAGAAUUCCACGUGUAGCAGUGAAAUGCGUAGAUAUGUGGAGGAACACCGAUGGCGAAGGAAGCCCCCUGGGUCAAGAUUGACGCUCAUGCACGAAAGCGUGGGGAGCAAACAGGAUUAGAUACCCCAGUAGUCCCAUGA